GUGGGGAAUUUUGCGCAAUGGGCGAAAGCCUGACGCAGCAACGCCGCGUGGAGGAUGAAGGCCUUCGGGUCGUAAACUCCUGUCAGGGGGGACGAAAGUUGGGAAACCAAUCUGACUGUACCCCCUGAGGAAGCCACGGCUAACUCCGUGCCAGCAGCCGCGGUAAUACGGAGGUGGCAAGCGUUGUUCGGAAUUAUUGGGCGUAAAGGGCGCGUAGGCGGCAUUGCAAGUCAGAUGUGAAAUCCCCGGGCUUAACUCGGGAAUUGCAUCUGAAACUGCUUUGCUUGAGUUCUGGAGGGGGUAGUGGAAUUCCCAGUGUAGCGGUGAAAUGCGUAGAUAUUGGGAGGAACACCUGCGGCGAAGGCGGCUACCUGGACAGUGACUGACGCUGAGGCGCGAAAGCUAGGGGAGCAAACGGGAUUAGAUACCCCUGUAGUCC
rnacentral:rRNA from 1 species